GAUCAUGGCUCAGUGGUAGAGCACUCACCUAGCAUGUGUGAGGGGCACUGGGUUCGAUUCUCAGCACCA
rnacentral:tRNA from 1 species